GCGGGCUCCUACCCUUCAGGAUAUGACAAGGCUCAGAGGCAAAACCUCAGAAGAUAUGCCUCAAAAUUCCAACAAAAGGAUGGAGAACUCUUUGUUGGAACCAGAAAAGUAGUAAAAACCAUGGAUGAUGCCAAGAAGAUAUUUCAUGAGUUUCAUUCAUCUCCAACUGAGGACACACUGGCACACACAAACGCUAAAUGCAGUGUGUUCCAGAUUUUACUGGUUUGGACAGUUGACAUUAAAACAUGGAUUCUGGAAUGUGACCAGUGUCAAAAAGUUGGG